GGCUAGGGGUCGAAUCGGAGCUGUAGCCGCUGGCCUAUGCCAGAGCCACAGCAACACGGGAUCUGAGCCGCGUCUGCGACCCACACCACAGCUAUGGCAACACCAGAUCCUCAACCCAUUUAGCAAGGCCAGGGAUCGAAUCCUCAACCUCAUGGUUCCUAGGCAAUCACUGUGCUGCGACGGGAACUCCUCCUGGAUAUCUUUUAUUAUAUUGCUCUUUUUAAUAGAGUAUGAUAGUUAUUGUAGAAUUUCUUCUUUUUUUUUUUAGAUCUAGUCUCCUUUUAUACCAGUAUCAUUUCUAGAUUUCUGUCUUCAGGCUCACUAAUUCUCUCUUCCAUAUUGUCUGCAUUGUUUCCGAUGUUUUUAGUGUGUUCUUCAUCUCAUUUAUUGAGUUCUUUAGUUAUAGAAUUUGGUUCUUUUUUAUAGUUUCAGUCUGUUUGAUAAAGUAGUCUUUCUGUUCAUUGGUUUUAUUCCUAAGCUCUUUGAAAUAACUUUUUCCUGAAUUUUUCGUGGCUCAUUGUGUUUCUUUAUGGCAACUAUUUUGAAUUCUGUAUUAAUUAGAUUGUAAUAUUCUCUGACUUUAAGUUUAAUAUUUAGAGAAUUGUCAUUUUCUUUUUGUGAUAUCUGUUACCAUGGUAUUUCCUGGUGCUUGAUGAAUUUUUCCUCUUCCAGUGCAUUUGAAGUAAUAAUUCAGGUAAAGUUUUUUUUCACUUGAUUCUAACAAUUGAACAGGUUAGUAGUUAGAGGCCUUUCUUCUGUUUUCCAAUAGGUGGUGCUAUAGCACAAAUUUUUGGUUUCCUGAACCUGAGCUGCCUCUGGUUAUAUUUGAGAAUCAACACUUUCACCCUCCACUGCCUCUGCUAGAGUUGUCACCUGGACCCCUCAUUGUUGCUGCUUGUGCUAUCAGAUCACUGGUGCCUUGCUGCUCUCACUUAUCACUGCUGUUGCUGGUGUUGUUGCCUGGGGCACCAGGAUGGCAGGUACCUCUGCCAUGUCCAGGGUUACCUGGCUCUGCCACCACAGGAAGGGUGUGGGGGGAAGCCAGGGUCAUGGGUGCCUCUGUUGCAUCUGGGGUUGUUAGGUGACACUGCUGUAGGUGAUGGGGGACCAGGGUCACAGGUGUCUCCAUAGCUGGAGUUUGGGGUCUAGGCCCUCCUGCUACUGCUGCCAGGCUCACUGUAGCCAUAGGUAUUGCUAUAUAGGUGGGAUGCUGGGGUUGUGUGCACUGCCUCCCCUGCUGCUACUGUAUUCUCCUGAGGUCAGAGGCUGCAGCCUGGCUUGUUGAGAUCACAGGCACCACCUCUCCUGUUUCCCUAGUUCUCCUUCCUCUUUGUGUUGUCAUCCAUCGGCAUUUGGAUGUACAGAUUAAUAGAAUGCUCCAGUGUCUUGGUGUAAUAAGCAGGGGAACCUCCAUUGUUAUGGCUGUUUUGCUGGUUGUAGAUUGAAAGGGGGUGUCUCGUGCCACUGGGAUGUUGACAUCACUCCCAGCGUAUGUCUUGAAUUUCAUAAAUUAAGAAAGCUUAAUUGGUUAUCUUCUUAAUACUUGUGUAUCUUCAUUGUCUUAUUUAUUUAUUUAUUUAGAUCGUAACCACAGCUUGCAGAAGUUCCUGGGCCAAGGAUUGAACACGAGCCACAGCAGUGACAAUGCUGAGUCCUUAUCUGAUAGGCCCCUGGGGAAUUCCCCUUGUGUCUUUAAUUGCAGUGUCAUAAAUAUCAUUCUUUGUAGAAAUGAAGAGCGCUUAUUUUUCUUUGUAGCUCUUCUUCUCUAUGUUUUCCCCUAAAUCACCCAAAAUACUCAAUUUCCUUUUUAAAUGUAAUUCACAAUAAUCAAUAGUUCAUUCACAAUAUGUCUUAAGGAGUUCCUGCCAUGGCACAGUGGGUUAAGAACCUGACUGCAGCAGCUCAAAUUGCUGCAGAGGCUCGAGUUUGUUCCCUGGCCUAGUGCAGUGGGUUAAAGGGUCCAGCAUUGCCGCAGUUGUGGUUUGGAUUCAACCCCUAGCCUGGGAACUUCCACAUUGUGCUACUGCAGCCAUAAAAUUUAGAAAAAAAAAAAAUUGUCUUGAACAUCAGUAGUAGUAUUUAAAAAAUAUUUUAGUUUUUGUGUUAUUAAAAUUGAGAAAAGAAGUUAAUAGUACAGAACAUAGGGUAAUAGGAUUACUUUCAACUGACCACACUUUCCUAGUCUCCAGAUUGAUAUUUUGUUGAAUUCUUUAAAAGAUUUUCUUUUGUGCUAUAUAAAUUAUUAUAUGCCUAAUUUUAGGGUUUGGCUUCUCGAGACAUCCAUUAUAGAUCUUUCUUUUUUCAUGGUCAGGUGUGAUGUAUCACAAAUCAUUUAACCAUCGCUAUUUGUUGACACUGAAAUUGCUUACAGAUGUUUUGUCAGAUAAUGACUACAGUAGCAAAUAUACUUGGAGAGAUAUUUCUAUACUGUAGUUUCCUGUAAGGGACUACUGUGUGACUUAGUUUAUGAGUUGUACCUAUUACAAGUUUUGGUAUUGCUAAAUUAAGAAUGUAGUGUCAGCAUAAAUUCCCAUCAACUUGAUGUGAAUGCUUUUCUCCCUGCACUGCACCAAUACUUAAAUACUACUAAUCUUUAAAUUUUAGUCAAUUUAUAUAUUUAUUUUUCUGGUCUUUUUGCCUUUUCUAGGGCCCCUCCUGUGGCAUGUGGAAGUUCCCAGGCUAGGGGUCCAAUCAGAGCUGUAGCUCCCGGCCUACGCCAGAGCCACAGCAACUCGGAAUCCGAGCUUCGUCUGCAACCUACACCACAGCUCACAGCAAAAGCCAGAUCCUUAACCCACUGAGCAAGGCCAGGGAUGGAAUCUGCAACCUCAUGGUUCCUAGUUGAAUUUGUUAACCGCUGAGCCACGAUGGGAACUCCAAAUUUUAGUCAAUUUAAAGUGGAAAAAUAGGGUAAGAGUAUGGAUUGCCUGGAUUUAAUUCUUGGUUAAUUGAAAACUGACUUUGGUUUGGUUUGGGGGAAGUUAUACCUAAACUCUCUGUAAAAUAGCAUAUUAUUAUUUUUUUCAUUUGUAAAAUUGCAUAUUAUUAUCACUUACCUGAUAGGAUUUGAGGUUAAAAUGAUUGUUGUGAGGUUAAAAUGAGGCGACAUGUAGUCAUUGUUUUCAAUGUGCAUGGUUUGAAGAGUAUAAUCUUAAUUUUUUUUCUUUUUAUUAUUUUUUUUAAGGGCCGCACCGAUGGCCUAUGGAGGUUCCCAGGCUAGGGGUUGAAUUGGAGCUACAGUUGCCUGUCUAUGCCUACGCCACAGCAACGCGGGAUCCCAGCCGUGUUUGUGACCUACACCACGGCUCAUGGCAACACUGAAUCUUAACCCACUGAGUGAGGCCAGGGAUUGAGCCUGGAACCUCAAGGUUCCUAGUCAGAUUCGUUUCUGCUGAGCCGCUACGGGAACACUCACAGCAUACGGAAGUUCCUAGGCGAGGGAUCGAAUCCAAGCCCCAUCUGCAGCCUCUGCCAGAGCUGUGGCAGUGCUGGAUCCUUAACCCACUGCUCUGGGCCAGGAAUCAAACUGGCAAUGCCAUAGGGACAAACCUGAUCAUUAACCCACUGCACCACAGAGGGAACUCCUAGAUGAGUUUUGACAAGUGCUCAUAACCAUGAAAUCACCAACCCAAUCAAGAUACAGAUCAUUUCCAUCACCACCCAUAAUUUCCAGGCUAGGGGUUGAAUUGGAGCUGCAGCUGCCAGCCUACGCCACAGCCACAGCAACUCCAGAUCUGAGCCACGUCUGCAACCUACACCACAACUCAUGGCAAUGCCCUAUCCUUAACCCAUUGAGUGAGGCCAGGGAUCAAACCCACAUCCUCAUGGUUACCCGUCUGGUUUGUUACCGCUGAGCCACAAUGGGAACUCCUAUAUAUUCUUUCUUAAUGUAGAUUGAUUAAGCAUUUUCUAAAAUUUUAUAUAAAUGGGAUCUACACAUACUCUUGUGUCUGGUUUCAUCUUUUUUUUUUUUUUUUUUUUUUUUUUUCCCUUUUCUAGGGCUGCUUCCCAUGGCAUGUGUAGGUUCCCAGGCUAGGAGUCGAAUCAGAGCUGCAGCCACUGGCCUACGCCAGAGCCACAGCAACGCAGGAUCUGAGCUGCGUCUGUGACCUACAGCACAGCUCACGGCAACGCUGGAUCCUUAACCCACUGAGCAAGGCCACGGAUUGAACCCGCAACCUCAUGGUUCCUGGUCGGAUUCAUUAACCACUGCGCCACAACAGGAACUCUGUGUCUGGUUUCUUUCAUCAUAAUAAUUUUGAAUGGAUCAAUAAGUACCGUAAAUGAAUAUUUACUUUUCUUAUCUAGUAAGAUUAAACCUUUCUUCCUAUAUUUUUGUCUGUGUGUAUAUUAAGUAGGCAUUGAGGACACUAAAAAUUAUAUAAAUUCUUCUGAAUUCAGGUGAUUAUUUAAGAUUUACUAAAUACUAUGCAAACUAUUACUUUUUUAAGUGGAUAAGCAAUGAGAUCCUGCUGUAUAGCACAGGGAACUAUAUCCAUUCACUUGUGAUGGAACAUGAUGGAGGAUAAUGAGAAAAAUAAUGUAUGUAUAUAUGUAUGACUGGGUCACUCUGCUGUACAGUAGAAAUUGACAGAACACUGUAAAUCAACUAAUGGAAAAAUAAAAAUCAUAAAAUUAAAAAAAGAUUUACUAAAUACUAAAUAAAUACAAUAGAUCUCUGGUUCUGGGAUGUAAUUAGGCAGCAUUAAAGACAUUUAAGGCAGUUGGUUUUCUUUUUUUUUUUUUUUUUUUGGCUUUU
rnacentral:lncRNA from 1 species